GAUGAACGCUGGCGGCGUGCUUAACACAUGCAAGUCGAGCGAAGCAGUUAAGUUGAUUUCUUCGGAUUGAUUCUUGACUGACUGAGCGGCGGACGGGUGAGUAACGCGUGGGUGACCUGCCCCAUACCGGGGGAUAACAGCUGGAAACGGCUGCUAAUACCGCAUAAGCGCACAGAGCUGCAUGGCUCGGUGUGAAAAACUCCGGUGGUAUGGGAUGGGCCCGCGUCUGAUUAGGUAGUUGGCGGGGUAACGGCCCACCAAACCGACGAUCAGUAGCCGGCCUGAGAGGGCGACCGGCCACAUUGGGACUGAGACACGGCCCAAACUCCUACGGGAGGCAGCAGUGGGGAAUAUUGCACAAUGGGGGAAACCCUGAUGCAGCGACGCCGCGUGAGCGAAGAAGUAUUUCGGUAUGUAAAGCUCUAUCAGCAGGGAAGAUAAUGACGGUACCUGACUAAGAAGCCCCGGCUAACUACGUGCCAGCCACCGCGGUAA
rnacentral:rRNA from 1 species